UUAAAUCAGGCCUUCCCGAGGCGCGCGACAGAGAUGCCCUUCCUUGUGCGUUCAUCGGCUCUCCCGCCCCAGCCGCUCACCGGGCAGAAGCGUGGGAGGUGGAUUAAGUGGGAGCAGUUGAGUGCAAAUUCUAGAGACAUCCUGCCUCCUCAGGAGCCUACACUGCCAGGCGGCAGAAUUGUGAACUAGAGUGAAGCAGAAAUCUAGGAAUAUGAGCUCCAUGAUGGCCAUGGGUGAACCAAGGCUGAACUGGGAUGUUUCCCCCAAAAAUGGCCUUAAGACAUUUUUCUCUCGAGAAAAUUAUAAAGAUCAUUCCAUGGCUCCAAGUUUAAAAGAACUAUGUAUUUUAUCUAGCAGACGUAUAGGAGAAAAUUUGAAUGCCUCAGCAAGUUCUGUAGAAACUGAGCCGGCAGUUAGUUCAGCAACUCAAGCAAAGGAAAAAGUGAAAACCACGGUUGGAAUGGUUCUUCUUCCAAAACCAAGAGUUCCUUAUCCUCGUUUCUCUCGCUUCUCACAGAGAGAACAGAGGAAUUAUGUGGAUUUGUUGGUUAAAUAUGCAAAAAUCCCUGCAAGUUCCAAAGCUGUUGGAAUAAAUAAAAAUGACUACUUGCAGUACUUGGAUAUGAAAAAACAUGUGAAUGAAGAAGUUACAGAAUUCCUAAAAUUUUUGCAGAAUUCUGCAAAGAAAUGUGCACAGGAUUAUAAUAUGCUUUCUGAUGACGCUCGUCUCUUCACAGAGCAUAUUUUAAAAGCUUGUAUUGAACAAGUGAAAAAGUAUCCAGAAUUCUAUACUCUCCAUGAAGUCACCAGCUUAAUGGGAUUCUUCCCAUUCAGAAUAGAGAUGGGAUUAAAGUUAGAAAAAACUCUUCUCGCAUUGGGCAGUGUAAAAUAUGUGAAAACAGUGUUUCCCUCAAUGCCUGCAAGGUUACAGCUGUCAAAAGAUAACAUACCUACCACUGAAACACCAGAACAAACAGCUGCAGCUAUGCAUUAUGACAUUAGUAAAGACCCAAAUGCAGAGAAGCUUGUUGCAAGAUAUCACCCUCAGAUAGCUCUAACUAGUCAAGCAUUAUUUACCUUAUUAAAUAAUCAUGGACCAAGCUACAAGGAACAGUGGGAAAUUCCAGUGUGUAUUCAAGUAAUACCUGUCGCAGGUUCAAAACCAGUUAAAGUAAUUUAUAUUAAUUCACCACUUCCCCAAAAGAAAAUGACAAUGAGAGAGAGAAAUCAAAUCUUCCAUGAAGUUCCCUUAAAAUUCAUGAUGUCCAAAAACACAACUGUUCCAGUCUCUGCAGUAUUUAUGGACAAACCAGAAGAUUAUAUAUCUGAAAUGGAUUCCAUCUUUGGAAAUGCCCCUUCGAUCCUUGGGAGGGAAAAGAUGUCUUAUGAAGUUAAUGAGUGCCGAAAAAUUGAGACCCAUGAAAAUUUGGAUCUGGAUUUUGAUGAUGACGUCACAGAACUUGAAACUUUUGGAGUAACCACCACCAAACCAUCAAAGUCACCGAGUCCAGCAAGUACUUCCAUAGUACCCAACAUGACAGAUAUGCCCACAGCCCCCAGCAUAGCAAUCACAUCUGAGGCACCAACUGCACCAGACGUUACUGCUCAUUCUAGAAGUUUAUCUCAGAUUCUGAUGGAACAGCUGCAGAAGGAGAAACAGCUGGUGACUGGUAUGGACAAUGGCCCUGAAGAGUGCGGAAAUAAAGAUGAUCAGGGAUUUAUCCCCUGUGGUGAAAAUGUAUCAAAUUCUGAGACGUCUUUGGUACAAGAUAGUGACUUGAAAACAUCUGAUGCCUUACAAUUAGAAAGUUCUUCAGAAAUUGAAACCUCUAAUAGAAAUGAUAUGGCUUCUGACAUGGAGUGUGUUGAUGAAAGAGUGAAUGUUCCAGAGAACACAGACAGUAAUUCAAAGGAAAAGGCUGUUACAUCAGAAGCAGCUACAACUGAAGAUGGAAUUCUUUGCCAUAGUGAUACAGAUGAAGACUGUUUAAUCAUUGAUACAGAGUGUCAACAUAAUAGUAAUGGAAAGGCAGUUGAUAUGGGUUCUAAUUUAAGUUCUAAACCAGCUAGCCUAAAUUCUUCCUCAGGACAGGCUUCUGUAGGAAACCAGACUAAUACUACUUGUAGUUCUGAAGAGUCAUGUGUUUUAAAAAAACCUAUCAAACGAGUAUAUAAAAAGUUUGAUCCAGUUGGAGAAAUUUUAAAAAUGCAGGAUGAACUCUUAAAACCAAUUUCCAGAAAAAUACCUGAAAUGCCGUUGAUGAAUUCAGAAAAUUCUAAACAACCUCCUAGUUCUGAGCAACCCUCUGCUACUUCAGAUGCCUCUAGUUGGCCAAAAUCUAUAUGGCCUUCUGCGUUUCAGAAGCCAAAAGGACGAUUGCCGUAUGAACUUCAGGACUAUGUUGAAGAUACAUCAGAAUAUGUAGCUCCUCAGGAAGGAAAUUUUGUUUACAAGCUAUUUAGCCUACAAGACCUGUUGUUACUUGUGCGAUGCAGUGUCCAGAGGAUAGAGACCAGACCACGUUCUAAAAAACGGAAGAAAAUCAGAAGACAAUUUCCAGUUUAUGUACUACCAAAAGUGGAAUAUCAAGCUUGUUAUGGAGUUGAAGCUCUGACUGAAAGUGAACUUUGUCGCUUAUGGACUGAAAGUUUAUUGCAUUCCAACUGCUCAUUUUAUGUUGGACAUAUUGAUACAUUUACUUCGAAGCUUUUCCUGCUAGAAGAAAUCACCUCAGAAGAAUUAAAAGAAAGACUUUCAGCACUCAAGAUAUCAAGUUUAUUUAACAUCCUUCAACACAUUCUAAGAAAAUUAAGUAGCUUGCAGGAGGGUUCCUACUUGUUGUCUCACGCAGCAGAAGAUUCUUCACUCCGGAUCUACAAGACCUCUGAUGGAAAAGUUACUAGGACAGCAUACAAUUUGCAUAAAACACAUUGCAGCCUUCCUGGUGUGCCUUCCAGUCUCUCAGUUCCCUGGGUCCCGUUAGACCCCAGUCUCUUAUUACCAUAUCAUAUCCAUCAUGGAAGAAUACCUUGUACUUUUCCACCUAAAUCACUAGGUCCCACAACACAACAAAAGAUUGGUGGAACAAGAAUGCCUACCCGCAGCCGCAGGAAUUCAGUCUCCAUGGAAACCAAAAGUCUGCCUGCUCAGCAAGUUGAAAAUGAAGGAGUGGCUCCGAGUAAAAGAAAAAUAACUUAAGGACUGUACCAUGGAAAACGAAGAAAAACCAGUUAUCACAACAUUCAAUUUAGAAAAGUUUGAGGGGAAAUAUACCUGAAAGAUCUGUAGGCAAGAAGAAUGUUUUUCUUUUACUGUUCUUGAGAGUUUUUAUAGUGCCUCGAAAAUACACAUUGACUAUGUGAAGCAGUGUUCCAACUAAAAUGGAAUGUUGUGCUCUUAACACCUGAUAUUUGAGGAAGCUCCAGAUAUGGUUUAACAUUAUCGUGGCAGGGAAAUAAAGAGAGAAGAAAAUAUUUUUAUAGUAGACCUUUUGCAAAAAAUUGUAAGUAGGAAAAUAAUUUGCUUUUUUUGGAGAGCAAUAUUUAUCAUUAUGUAUUAUGUUAAUAAUUUGAGUUGUAUUGCCGGUCUGUUGAGGUUGGCUCAAAAGCUUAAAUCUUGCCACUGUCAGAGAUAAUUUUGAGCUACGUAAACCUUAUUUCUGACCCAUCUGACAGUUUUAAUAUACUACUUUAAAAUGAUGAUUGUUGCAGGUUAAUGAAGUUAAUAUCUUUAAAAACUUGGUGAAAUUGCAUUGCAGAAGCCAAAAAGGAAAAUAAAAAACUCUCUGCCUCUGAAAAUUCACAAUACUGAGAAUGUAUAAGCAAGAAAGUGACAUUGACAGUAUGAGCAAAGAUUUAAAAAAAAAAAACAAAACAGACUCAGUGUUGGCAAGGAUGUGAUGAGCCUGACCCACUUAUAUCUCUGAGGUGAAGGUAUAAACAUUUCAUUCAGUAAAUGUUUGAGUGCAUCUGUACUGUAUGUCACAUAAACUAAACUAGGUCCUCAUGUUUACUCUCUGAUAAAAUUAUUUUUUCAUAUAUCACAAUAUUUGUUUAUUUAACUUACUGUCUUUCUCCUUGAAUAGACUACAAGCUAUGCCAGAGUAGGGCAUAUUUGUUUUGUUCAGUAGUAUGUAAAAAACACCUAAUACAGUGUCUGUCGUAGUUGCUCAGUAGAUAUAAGUUGAAUGUAUGAAUAAAUGAAUGUCUAGGUAUCGAGGUAGAUUUUUUUUUUUCCUCAGGAGCUAACAUUCUAGUGGAAGACACAUGCUGAUCUAUGUGAUAAGUGCCCUGAUAAAGUAAUAUAAGAAAGUCAUCUAAUCUGGACCUGAUAAUUAAGGAAGGUUCUGAGAUAAACCUUGAGCUGAGUCUUUUAAAAAAGAGUAAGAGUUAUAAGGAAAGAAUGAAAGAUCUUCCACACAGAAAGAAAGUAGCAUAUGUAAAGGUGAAAGAUGGCCAGAUUGUAGGCUGUGAACGUGGAGAUGAGAGAAAAAGCUAUAGGACACGACAGACGUGCCAUGCUAUGGCGUUUGAAUUUUGUCCUGUGCAAUGUGGGAACUAGUAGUGAUUUUUAAAUAAAAAUAAAUAACAUGAUCAGAUAUAUUCUUCAAAAA